CCUACGGGGUGCUGCAGUGGGGAAUAUUGGACAAUGGGCGAAAGCCUGAUCCAGCCAUGCCGCGUGUGUGAAGAAGGCCUUCGGGUUGUAAAGCACUUUCAGUGGGGAAGAAAGCCUUGGGGCUAAUACCCUCGAGGAAGGACAUCACCCACAGAAGAAGCACCGGCUAACUCCGUGCCAGCAGCCGCGGUAAUACGGAGGGUGCGAGCGUUAAUCGGAAUUACUGGGCGUAAAGCGCGCGUAGGCGGUCUGAUAAGCCGGUUGUGAAAGCCCCGGGCUCAACCUGGGAACGGCAUCCGGAACUGUCAGGCUAGAGUGCAGGAGAGGAAGGUAGAAUUCCCGGUGUAGCGGUGAAAUGCGUAGAGAUCGGGAGGAAUACCAGUGGCGAAGGCGGCCUUCUGGACUGACACUGGCGCUGAGGUGCGAAAGCGUGGGUAGCAAACAGGAUUAGAUACCCGAGUAGUC
rnacentral:rRNA from 1 species